rnacentral:tRNA from 1 species
GGCCCUAUCGUCUAUCGGUUAGGACGAAUCCUUUUCAAGGAUUAAAGCGGAGUUCGACUCUCCGUAGGGUCACCA